rnacentral:rRNA from 1 species
UGACCGGUCAUGGGCCCAAACGGACUCUACGGGAGGCAGCAGUGGGGAAUAUUGCACAAUGGGCGCAAGCCUGAUGCAGCCAUGCCGCGUGUAUGAAGAAGGCUUCGGGUUGUAAAGUACUUUCAGCGAGGAGGAAGCAUUAAGGUUAAUAACCUUGGUGAUUGACGUUACUCGCAGAAGAAGCACCGGCU